rnacentral:rRNA from 1 species
AUUGAACGCUGGCGGCAGGCCUAACACAUGCAAGUCGAACGGUAACAGGAAGCAGCUUGCUGCUUUGCUGACGAGUGGCGGACGGGUGAGUAAUGUCUGGGAAACUGCCUGAUGGAGGGGGAUAACUACUGGAAACGGUAGCUAAUACCGCAUAACGUCGCAAGACCAAAGAGGGGGACCUUCGGGCCUCUUGCCUUCGGAUGUGCCCAGAUGGGAUUAGCUAGUAGGUGGGGUAACGGCUCACCUAGGCGACGAUCCCUAGCUGGUCUGAGAGGUUGACCAGCCACACUGGAACUGAGACACGGUCCAGACUCCUACGGGAGGCAGCAGUGGGGAAUAUUGCACAAUGGGCGCAAGCCUGAUGCAGCCAUGCCGCGUGUAUGAAGAAGGCCUUCGGGUUGUAAAGUACUUUCAGCGGGGAGGAAGGGAGUAAAGUUAAUACCUUUGCUCAUUGACGUUACCCGCAGAAGAAGCACCGGCUAACUCCGUG